UGUCUCUGUCAAAAUAAAUAAACCAAAAAAAAAAAAAAAAAGACCUAAUUUCUUAAAAAAAAAAGUGUAUAGCAGCCAAUGGGGCCUGUCCCUCAGAAUUAUGGAAACUGUUAAUAAGACAUGAAGUGUCUAGGUGUAAAACUGAUGGGCAGGCAACAAGGGCACUAUUUGAUUUGUACAGUCAAAAAAUUAUGAUGGAUAAAACGAAAGCCGAAGGCAGUUGUAUCAAUAAAACAUCACAAUUUUUUAGUCCAAUUAUGAUUAACAUACAGUAUUAUAUUAGUUUCAGUUGUACAAUAUAAUUUAACAAUUCUGUACAUUUCUCAGUGCUUACCAAGAUAAAUAUACUCAUUUCAAUCUUUUGCCCAAUACCUGGGCCUGUGCCAGUUUCCAGACCCCAAAUGCAUUGACUGAAGAAGGUGGAUGCCGAAGAGAAAGGAACCAUGGCCAGUAAUGGGGAAAUGAUUUUUCCAGUCCUUCCUCAAAUGGAUCUAUGGCCACUUGGGUAACUGUACACCUUGGAAAAGAAACAGAUAACACAUGGGUAUAAGAAAGGUUUCCUGUCCUCUGAACUUUACUACAAGAAACCCAGCAACGCAAGUAUGGUGAUAAAUGUAAACUGACAACAGCAUUAAUGCGGGGGAGCUCUACAGAGUGGUAAUAGCUACUAUGUGCGAGCACCUACAUAUUCCGGCGGGACACUGAAGCGGAAGCAGAGAAACACACGCACACGGAGAGAUUGAGCAUUGCUUUCCUAAAGGUGCAAGGACACAGCGGACUCCAGAGCAGACAGCUAGCAAAAGCAGAAGAGUUUCCGGUCUCCCCAUGCCUGAGAAGAACCCUGAGGGUCUUUUGGACUAGAGUUUUCAAUAAUUCCUCUUCCUCUAUUUGAUUAGCUUCAUCUGGACACAACCCAUGAGGGAACAAACUGGAAUUCCUCCAGAUUAGAUGGAGAAAGAUUGCAAGGGAUCUAAACUUACUACAGAUGGAAGGGGAUGCUGUAAGACUGACAAACCAUAAGACCUGACAGUCUCAAACACAUAAAAGAGCUGUCAUGUUGAAAAGGAAUAGAACUUAGUGUUUUUCCUAAAUCUGAGAUUAAUCCAUGGCAUAGUAUUAUGUGAAAAUGUAGAAUAAAAAAUUCUAUCAAUAAUUGCAAAUAUGUAAAUG